GAUGAACGCUGGCGGCGUGCCUAAUACAUGCAAGUCGAGCGAACAGACGAGGAGCUUGCUCCUCUGACGUUAGCGGCGGACGGGUGAGUAACACGUGGAUAACCUACCUAUAAGACUGGGAUAACUUCGGGAAACCGGUGCUAAUACCGGAUAAUAUAUUGAACCGCAUGGUUCAAUAGUGAAAGACGGUUUUGCUGUCCCUUCUAGAUGGCACCGGGCCGCAUUAGCUAGUUGGUAAGGUAACGGCUUACCAAGGCGACGGUGCGUAGCCGACCUGAGAGGGGGAUCGGCCACACUGGAACUGAGACACGGUCCAGACUCCUACGGGAGGCAGCAGUAGGGAAUCGUCCGCAAUGGGCGAAGGCCUGACGGAGCAACGGCGCGUGAGUGAUGAAGGUCUGCGGAUCGUAAAACUCUGUUAUUAGUGAAGAACAAAUGUGUAAGUAACUAUGCACGUCUUGACGGUACCUAAUCAGAAAGCCACGGCUAACUACGUG
rnacentral:rRNA from 1 species